GGUGGUUUGACUCAGUCGGUAGAGCUGAGGGCUCGCAACCGUGAGGUCGGGGUUCGAAUCUCGCAAGAGGCG
rnacentral:tRNA from 1 species